GAUGAACGCUGGCGGCGUGCCUAACACAUGCAAGUCGAGCGAUUCUCUUCGGAGAAGAGCGGCGGACGGGUGAGUAACGCGUGGGUAACCUGCCCUGUACACACGGAUAACAUACCGAAAGGUAUGCUAACACGGGAUAACAUAAGAAAUUCGCAUGUUUUUCUUAUCAAAGCUCCGGCGGUACAGGAUGGACCGGCGUCUGAUUAGCUAGUUGGUGAGGUAACGGAUCAACAAGGCGACGAUCAGGAGCCGACCUGAGAGGGUGAUCGGCCACAUUGGAACUGCGCCACGGUCCAAACUCCUACGGGAGGCAGCAGUGGGGAAUAUUGCACAAUGGGCGAAAGCCUGAUGCAGCAACGCCGCGUGAGCGAUGAAGGCCUUCGGGUCGUAAAGCUCUGUCCUCAAGGAAGAUAAUGACGGUACUUGAGGAGGAAGCCCCGGCUAACUACGUGCCAGCCGCCGCCGUAA
rnacentral:rRNA from 1 species